rnacentral:rRNA from 2 species
CUUGGUCAUUUAGAGGAAGUAAAAGUCGUAACAAGGUCUCCGUUGGUGAACCAGCGGAGGGAUCAUUACCGAGUUUACAACUCCCAAACCCCUGUGAACAUACCAAUUGUUGCCUCGGCGGAUCAGCCCGCUCCCGGUAAAACGGGACGGCCCGCCAGAGGACCCCUAAACUCUGUUUCUAUAUGUAACUUCUGAGUAAAACCAUAAAUAAAUCAAAACUUUCAACAACGGAUCUCUUGGUUCUGGCAUCGAUGAAGAACGCAGCAAAAUGCGAUAAGUAAUGUGAAUUGCAGAAUUCAGUGAAUCAUCGAAUCUUUGAACGCACAUUGCGCCCGCCAGUAUUCUGGCGGGCAUGCCUGUUCGAGCGUCAUUUCAACCCUCAAGCCCAGCUUGGUGUUGGGACUCGCGAGUCAAAUCGCGUUCCCCAAAUUGAUUGGCGGUCACGUCGAGCUUCCAUAGCGUAGUAGUAAAACCCUCGUUACUGGUAAUCGUCGCGGCCACGCCGUUAAACCCCAACUUCUGAAUGUUGACCUCGGAUCAGGUAGGAAUACCCGCUGAACUUAAGCAUAUCAAUAAGCGGAGGA